rnacentral:rRNA from 1 species
UACGUAGGGUGCAAGCGUUGUCCGGAAUUAUUGGGCGUAAAGAGCUCGUAGGCGGUCUGUCGCGUCUGCUGUGAAAACCUAGGGCUUAACUCUGGGCGUGCAGUGGGUACGGGCAGGCUAGAGUGCGGUAGGGGAGACUGGAAUUCCUGGUGUAGCGGUGAAAUGCGCAGAUAUCAGGAGGAACACCGGUGGCGAAGGCG